rnacentral:rRNA from 1 species
AUGGGAUCUAUGGACGACUCAAGGAUGUAUAAGCGGCAGAAGCGCAAGGAGAAGCACCUCUACCUGGUGCUGGACGAGUGGGACAAGGGCUUCACCAUCCGCAAGAUCGACGCUGACAGCCCCGACGAUCACAGCCGCAGCCUCCUCGACGAGCCCCCCGUCAUCCGUCUGCUCUCUCCCAAUCCUAUCCACCGCAUGGAUUUCGCCGCCCUGGGCAGCAGCCACAUCCUCGCAGCCAGCAACAAACACCCCGCCACCCUCGUCUACGACACGGACACCGCCGGGCUGAUCACCGGCCCUCCCGUCCCGGACGCGCUCCAAGACGCCUACACAAUCCUCUUGCCUGCCGGCGACGAUACGCUGUAUGCAUUUGCGUACUAUUUGGACGAGUCUCAAGCCGUCGAGGUGCUGUCCCUGUCCUCCACCACCGAGGAUCUGCACUCCUCAGUGCCAACCAUGCACUGGUCCUGGACCUGGAAAAGCACCGCGCCCUUGCCGUUCACCCAGCACGAGAGGAUCUGCUCCUAUGCCGCGCACCAUCUUCUUGUCCGCCUGCAUCAUGUUCGGCUGCGUUCAGGCCACUUCGACAGCUACCUGGACGCCUGGGUUGGGCUCCACGAGGAUGGCUACAUCGGCGCCUGCCAGGUCGCCUCCCCUACCCCUGCCGCUGACAUGAAGAUGCCGCCGCUGGACUGGAAGAUGGCCAGCGAGAAGCUCUGGAGCAAGGGGAAGGAGGUGGAGAUGCCCACGCUCACCUGCAUGGGCGGCGCCAGGUUUUGCCUCGUGGGGUGUGUGGUGCGCGAGGGGAUGAGAUACAACCAUCAGGGGGAGCUGCAAAUCUUUGAACGUGCCACCAGGUCCUGCCAAAUGGAUAAGGAACGCUUGUCAUUUUCUCCGAGUUCGAUUAGUGUAAGAAGGGUGUGUGUUGUGUUGCCGAGCCCCUUGCCGGCGAGGCAACUGGAGGAGGUCGCGGCGUCGUGCACGCCGAGCCCCUUGCCGGCGAUGGCAGUCACGGAGCGCCUCCUGCACGCUCGACACAAUGCCGCUCCUCCUCCCUGUCGUCAUGCGCCACGACGGCCUGCCGUGCACCCUAGCACUCCUAUUACUCUGAUUCAGUAUGGAAGCCUUCAGGCCAGGCACAAACGACUCCGGAGAACUAUGUCUGUGGAAGUGAAGCGGUGUACGCUCCUCUCUCCUAUCGCGGCGGCUCUCGUGGCGACUCGCACGCUGCCUAUCUUCCCCAAUUUCGAUCAUGGUUUCGUCUCUCCUUCCCUACUCUCCGGCGCCUCCCUGUCUCAUAGUGUGGUCGGCGAAACAAGUUUCAGGCCUUGGCCGAGGUCUAUGAUUACGAUGCGGAGAGCCCUUGGGAGGGCAGAUGUCGGGUUCUCUGGCGGUUGUGUAAGGCGACGAUCUCGCAUGGGAUCCUGGAUCCGGUUUCGAGCUCGCCGCAGUCUCCUAUCUCUUCCUCCGUGUUGGGAAGCUCGUUGUCGUCUCACUCCUCACUUAUCCAUCAGUCAUGGAAGCAUACGUGGGCCUUUCAAAUUAAGUUCAUUUCCGGCCCAUCCCGUCCCCUUCUCUCUAGCUCCAAGUUGGCCCAUCCCAUCAGCCCAUUCCGGCCCUCUUGUUUCUAGCCCCAAGUUGCACAUCCUCAUCGGGUAUUUAUGGCUUCUAUCCUUCUCUUUUGCGAUUGUGGUAGUGAUGGAUCGUUCAUGUGGUCUGUUCUCUAAGCACGAUGCUAAUGGCAAGCGUCGCUUCGACGACGACAAAGAGGAUCUAUCAGAUCCGGCUAGAUCUGAUGAUGCCCUAGAUCUGUGGCUUAAAGCGCGUGACGACGGGUUCCCUAACUCCAACGACAACCCUAGAUCUGAACCUAGAUCCGCGGACUGCAUCAACUCUUCCAAAAACAAUGCCCAUGGUGACCAGUGCAAGGAUGGCAGCUCGGGUCGUGGGAUUGUUCCCCGUCCUCCGCCGGCAAAAGGCUGGUCUACGAGCGGCGUCCCCUCGGAGCGGAGCGGCGCCGGCUCCGAGGUGGGUGCUGCCGUCGCCUCGGAUGGCGUCGCUCCGGGGACGAGCGGCGCCGGCGACGAGGUUGGCGCUGUUCCGGAGGCGAACAUCCUCAGCGUCCCCGUCGAUGCGUGGACAUGCCACCAGGUGAGCCCCUCGAAUUCGCAAGAUCCGAUACAGAUUGAGAGGAAGAACUUUGGUGCCGACUAG